GAAUGGAGCAGCUACUAACCAGAAGACUGCAGCUAAGGCAGCAUUGGUCCACACCUACCCUGUUUUUCGGACCUGAAGACAUUCAAGCAGCACUUUGAUAGCAAACAUCCCAAGUCUCCAAUGGUCCCAAUGCAGGCCUAAGGGACCACAUACACUCAAAUGGACCUACAGCUGGGACACACAAUGGCCACGAUUUGAAUGCUACAACUGAGACAGAAUGAUGUCGAGGGACACGCUGAGGCCCCGAAUAUGACUGGACAUGGGCCGGAUAUUUGUGACAACAACCAAAAAGGGCUGCAGAAGUACACCAGCACCACAUUUUAUAUUUAUUCCAUGGCCAACCACCUCUCUAGUUCCACGCAAUGCCUUUUAUGCCCCAUGGUUCCUCAAAUUCAGACACUCCAUCUUAUCUCUAUAAACCCACCCUACCUUCACCCAUUCCCCUAUGCUGCUUCCUUCACUUGUUCUUCUCUUGAUUUGAUAACAUCUAGACUCAGUAACACGUUUAAUAGUGUUGUGGUGUACUGUUUUUGCUACCUUUUUUCCAGCUGUGUAAUGCUGUCCUCUUUAUUCUGGGGUUCAGGCUGAAUGCAGUGGUAAAUGUGCUGCUCAUAAUUGACAGCAGCAACAUGGACCUGUUAAAUUGUCCAGAAGGGUGUUCAUAUAGCUGAUUUUAGACAUGGCUUCCUUGUUUUCAGUCUGUUGAGUGUGUUUCUCAUUCUGCUGGAGUUGACCUAGUAUUUUAUAUAAAACCUACCUCACGCAUCCAGUUUUUCCAUUUGUAACUCGCCCACCAAAAUCACAACAUGCUGUUGUGUUAUUUAUGCUGGUCUAAUUCCUAAACUGGAAAAGCAGAAGCAUAUUUGCACUGUUUGAUAGUAAUAAUAGUUUAUAUGGUGCUCUUCGAUGUUCCAGGUUUGUGAUAUUGAUGAUUAAACCAUUGAAAGUUUACUUAAAUUCAGAUGUUUAUGUGUUAUGUAUAAAAAGCAUAUGUAUGCAUUGUUUAAUAUUUUUGAUUUAUUUAAAACAAUGUAAUUGUUGGAGUUCAGGUGUUUGACAUGAUUGAUGGAUGCCUAGGUGCCUUUUUGUCAAAUAAAUAUGCUUUUCAUUCAUGAUUAUGGAUA